rnacentral:rRNA from 1 species
AUACGAAGGGGGCUAGCGUUGUUCGGAAUUACUGGGCGUAAAGCGCACGUAGGCGGAUUGUUAAGUUAGGGGUGAAAUCCCAGGGCUCAACCCUGGAACUGCCUCUAAUACUGGCAAUCUCGAGUUCGAGAGAGGUGAGUGGAAUUCCGAGUGUAGAGGUGAAAUUCGUAGAUAUUCGGAGGAACACCAGUGGCGAAGGCGGCUCACUGGCUCGAUACUGACGCUGAGGUGCGAAAGCGUGGGGAGC